CCUGGCUCAGGAUGAACGCUGGCGGCGCAUUUAAGACAUGCAAGUCGAACGAAAAUUUACGCUUAAAGAGUUGAUUAGUUUACUAAGAGAUGAUUUAUUGUAAAUUUUAGUGGCGGACUGGUGAGUAAUACAUAGGUAAUCUGCCUUUUAGAGGGGAAUAACUAGGAGAAAUCCUAGCUAAUACCGCGUAAGACCACACUUAGGCAUCUAAGAGAGGUCAAAGGAGUAAUCCGCUAAAAGAUGAGCCUGUGGCUGAUUAGUUAGUUGGUGGGGUAAGAGCCUACCAAGACGAUGAUCAGUAGCCGAGCUGAGAGGCUGGCCGGCCACAUUGGGACUGAGAUACGGCCCAGACUCCUACGGGAGGCAGCAGUUGGGAAUAUUGGACAAUGGAGGAAACUCUGAUCCAGUGACGCCGCGUGAAGGAAGAAGGUCUUCGGAUUGUAAACUUAUUUUAUCAGGGAAGAAGAAAGUGACAGUACCUGAAGAAAAAGGACCGGCAAACUACGUGCCAGCAGCCGCGGUAAUACGUAGGGUCCAAGCGUUAUCCGGAUUUACUGGGUGUAAAGGGCGAGUAGACGGCGCUGUAAGUCAGCUGUGAAAACUUAGGGCUCAACCUUAAGCCUGCAGCUGAAACUGUAGUGCUAGAGUGCAGGAGAGGUAAGCGGAAUUCCUAGUGUAGCGGUGAAAUGCGUAGAUAUUAGGAGGAACACCAGUGGCGAAGGCGGCUUACUGGACUGUAACUGACGUUGAGGCGCGAAAGUGUGGGGAGCAAACAGGAUUAGAUACCCUGGUAGUCCACACCGUAAACGAUGGAUACUAGGUGUAGGCGAGAUAUCGUCUGUGCCGGCGCAAACGCAAUAAGUAUCCCACCUGGGGAGUACGGCCGCAAGGUUGCAACUCAAAUGAAUUGACG
rnacentral:rRNA from 1 species